GACGAACGCUGGCGGCGUGCCUAACACAUGCAAGUCGAACGGGAUCCAUACUAUGAAGUCUUCGGAUGGAUUGGUAUGGUGAGAGUGGCGGACGGGCGAGUAACGCGUGAGCAACCUGCCCUAUACUGGGGGAUAACACCGGGAAACCGGUGCUAAUACCGCAUAAGACUACGAGAUCGCAUGGUUUUGUAGUCAAAGCUCCGGCGGUAUAGGAUGGGCUCGCGUCCAAUUAGCUAGUUGGUGAGGUAACGGCCCACCAAGGCGACGAUUGGUAGCCGAACUGAGAGGUUGAUCGGCCGCAUUGGGACUGAGACACGGCCCAGACUCCUACGGGAGGCAGCAGUGGGGAAUAUUGCGCAAUGGGGGCAACCCUGACGCAGCAACGCCGCGUGAAGGAAGAAGGCCUUCGGGUUGUAAACUUCUUUGAUCGGGGACGAAACUGACGGUACCCGAGGAACAAGCCACGGCUAACUACGUGCCAGCAGCCGCGGUAAUACGUAGGUGGCAAGCGUUGUCCGGAAUUACUGGGCGUAAAGGGCGUGUAGGCGG
rnacentral:rRNA from 1 species